rnacentral:rRNA from 1 species
UCAGGAUGAACGCUGGCGGCGUGCCUAACACAUGCAAGUCGAACGGGGCGCGCAGGCUGAGGCUUUUCGGAGCGGAAGCCUGCGCUGCCCAGUGGCGGACGGGUGAGUAACGCGUGGGCAACCUGCCCUGCACUGGGGGACAACAGCCGGAAACGGCUGCUAAUACCGCAUAUGCCCGCAGCCCCGCAUGGGGCGGCGGGGGAAGCUCCGGCGGUGCAGGAUGGGCCCGCGUCUGAUUAGCUGGUUGGCGGGGCAACGGCCUACCAAGGCGACGAUCAGUAGCCGGCCUGAGAGGGUGGGCGGCCACAUUGGGACUGAGACACGGCCCAGACUCCUACGGGAGGCAGCAGUGGGGGAUAUUGCACAAUGGGGGGAACCCUGAUGCAGCGACGCCGCGUGGGCGAUGGAGUGCUUCGGCAUGUAAAGCCCUAUCAGCAGGGAAGAAAAUGACGGUACCUGACUAAGAAGCCCCGGCUAAAUACGUGCCAGCAGCCGCGGUAAUACGUAUGGGGCAAGCGUUAUCCGGAUUUACUGGGUGUAAAGGGAGCGUAGGCGGCCUGGCAAGCCUGAUGUGAAAUACCGGGGCCCAACCCCGGGGCUGCAUUGGGAACUGCCAGGCUGGAGUGCCGGAGAGGCAGGCGGAAUUCCUAGUGUAGCGGUGAAAUGCGUAGAUAUUAGGAGGAACACCAGUGGCGAAGGCGGCCUGCUGGACGGUGACUGACGCUGAGGCUCGAAAGCGUGGGGAGCAAACAAGAUUAGAUACCCUGGUAGUCCACGCCGUAAAC